rnacentral:lncRNA from 1 species
UGCAAUGGGCAAAUCAUUGUAACUCAGAGACAAUACCUCAGCACAUCCAUCCUGAAUAUUAUGACCUAUACGCUCAAGCACUCUGUUCCAUGCAUGUUCUGUUCUUUCUCUUGCCCUUAACACGCCUGCUGUCACAACAAUGGCUAAUGGUAUACCUCCGCAUCUCUGAACUAUACUUUUACCAAUAUCUACCAAGAAAGGUGAAGCAUUGACCCAAUUAUUAUUAUUAUCAAAAAUAAAGAUUUUCUUGGUAAAGAGUUCAAAACUUUUCUCUGAAUCUAAGGGUUGCAACUCGUGGAGAGAGAAAUCCUCUCCUAUGUAUCUGCCUACAUGAUCAUAUCGAGAAGUGAUAAUUAUCCUACUGCCAAUUUUUGAAUCACAUUCAGGACGAAGGACACGGUUCAGAGCAUCCCAAAUUUUAGUAUCCCAAAUGUCAUCUAAGAGAAUAACAUACCUUUUUGUUUCCAAAAGUGAUCGUAGAUUGUCCUCCAAGUGUUCUUUCCUUUCCUCCUCCGUCAGUCCAACUUGCUUGGCUAUGUCAAGUAAGAUUUCUCCUGCUCUUGGCUGUUGUGAAACGUAGACCAGUGCAGAACACUCAAAUUGUUGACGGACAUGCCUAUAAAGUUUCUUGGCAAGAGUUGUUUUUCCUAGACCGGGCAUGCCAACUAUUGAAACAACUCCAUUACACAAAUCUUGAACAAGCAAUUUGUCUUGGAGCUUAUUGAAGUCAUCAUCCAAACCGAUGACCUCUGUUUCAUCAGCAUGAAGGAAUUUUCUUCUCUGUUCCAUUGGAAUGCAAUCAUUAUUGUUGUUACUUGUGUCUGUGAUGUUGAAAGUUGUCCUUAAACUAUCAAUGUCAGCAACCCUUCUUCUUAUCUUCUCAAUCUCCAUAGCAAACUCAUCGGCAAAAGAAACCGUCUUAAGGCAACAAAUUGCGCCUUUGAACUUAUUGGAUUGUUGGAUUUUUGGAAGAAACUCAUCUAAGAGAUCCUCUACAUCACCUGCCAAUUCUUGAAUAUCUUUUAAUAAGUUUUUGACCCUUGAAUCGCCUCCAACUUCCUUGGCCUUUGCAUCGUCUACAUAUGAUCGAAUGUGUCUCAGUACUCUCUGGAGCCAAUCGAUGUCCUCUUUCAAAAAAUUCAAGCGGCUCCCUUCUUGAAAGAGUAGAUUUGCAGCUAUUUCUACAGAUUUAUUGAUGACUGCUGUAAGAAGAAUUUCAGCCAUCUCCUUUAAUUUUUCGUUAAAUUUCUUUUUUCUAAAUGUGAGGAUGAGGAAGGGAAAGUAAGAGAAAAAGGAUAAAGAAAGAUGUACUAUUUGCUUUAGUGUUGGAGUCAACGGCCCAAGUCUUGUAAACACAAUAAUUCAUCUUUUGUUAAUCAUGUUAGCUGGUAUUUCGUUUUCAAGCAUGAAUAACAAACGUUGAAAGUUAGAAUAUUCAGGCAGUACUACGCGUAAAACGAAAUUAGAAAGAAGGAGAUAAUUGGUAAAGGAAAAGAAAGGUCAGCUUAGAAUAGUUGGAGUCCACUGCCAAGUCUCCUAAUAAUGUCAAGUAAAAGAAAAACGAAAGAACAAAGGAACAACACAUGCUGUGGAUAAGAUACUAGUAGAAUAGUCAAAAGAAAUUACACCGUUCGUCCCAAUUUAAGUGUCAUUCAAUUAAAUUCGACAUGAAAUUUAAGAAACAAACAGUAACUUUUAAUAUUUUGUGGCUGAUGAUUGAUAAUGUACCUUUUUUUGAAAAAAUUAUGUAACUAAGCAAACAUCUUUAGUAUAUAACUAUCAAUCACACCAUAUGUUUAAAAAAAAUUAUUAUAUAUUUAGACGCCAUUUUAUGUUUCCUAACUGUUUGAUGAACGUCUUGCAAAACUUUACCCAAUUUGGUUCAUGGCUGUGAGUUUGGGCUAUUAUGAGACUCAAUUUGUAUGUUCCAUGAAAUUAAAUUAGGCUUUUAUGCAAUUUGAUUCUCUCAAAAUCUUUUGCCAUACUCAUACAGAGUGGGCGUUCGGUUCGAUAUUUAUUUAACUUUGAUUUGAUUUGAUCGUGAGACAUCAUCAUAAUGAUUCGAGUAGAAUGGUCGGAAUUUCUUCACUUUUUUGGUAAGGAGUGUUCUGUUCUAAAUUUUACUGAUUCGACUAAUUCAAAUUUGUAUCACAUAAUACCGAUUUAAGAAAGAAAUACUUUUUAUCAAAAAAAAAUCAUUUUCAAAGCUCGAAUUGAUUUUUUGUUGGUUUCAUUAUGUGUAAUCUUCAAGUCCUUGUGGUAUCACAACACAAGUUAGGAUAUUUGGAGGUUAUUUCACAAGAACUUACAACAAGAAAAGGAAAAACAAAGAUAUAAUUUGAGGAAAUAUGAAAGUCUUGCAUUAAAGUUAAAAAAAAGUAGUAGUUGUUUGCUCGUGAAAUUCAAAUAUUUUUCACUAAAAUUUAUAGAAUUGAAAUUGAAAAUAGAGUUGGGUUUAAAUUAUUUUUUUAUUGCGAAUGAAACAACCGAACGAUUGGAGAUUGGAGAAUUUUACCAUCAAACUACUUUUGAAAUAAAGUGAAAAAUUAUUUCAAAAAAAAAUAUAAAUAAUUCACAUAACAUCCUAAAAUAGCUUUCUCAAUCUCAACAAUUGCUCAUUUAUAAACUACGGAAAAAGGUCAAAACUGCCCUUGCACUAUGUGAAAUAGACCACUUAUACCCUCCGUUACAUUUUACGAUAAAAAAUGCCCGUUGUUAUCCUAAGAGACCACAAUUACCCUUAAAACUUAACAGAAAUGAUACAUGACACUAAUUCCACCACCUAGGCCUGCCAACUAGGAUACUCACUAAAUAUUUUGACCCAAUUAAUAAUUCAACCCUAACCCAUUUUUAUUGGACCCAAUCCACUAAAAUUAAGAGGGAAACAUCAUCUUUUUUUCACCUCAUUCCGUUUUACUAUUAAAUUCACCAAGGACGAUUUUUUGAAGACUUUUACGAGCUUAGCUUACUUGGACCAUGAUUGUGUGCCGCCAUAGAUUUAAAAACUAUGCUCUGGCACCAUUCUAUGCUUAGAAAGCUUGGGCUUGUGUUUUAUGUGGCUUUCCAAAAAAAUUUUGAGAAGCUCCACUUUUGUGAUGAUUAUACCCCACAACCACAAGUUUCUACGUUUUUAGCUUGUCGUCUAGCGGAUUAGCACUACGACAAAUAUAGGAGGGUGAUUGAUAAAAUGUGAAUACAAGAUUAUAAACAUGUAGGGGCAUAUCAAUGUUGCAUCCAUUUGUCUCUUACAGUGAUGAAUUUCAAUGAUUUUGGUUAUAAAGUAUAACACCAUAGAACCAUAAAGUUAAAUUUUCAAGCUUAUGUAUCUUUUCUAGUCCAUUGUGUCAUUAGAUUUUAAAGCUAGCAUUCCUAAGGUAGAGAUGUAAGGUAAACAAAAUAUUUUGCAGGCAAGAGAAACAAAUUAUAUAAAAAUCUUUUGCUUCCCCUGCUUAUUUACAACUAAUUUAUCAAUGAGUUAUUACUUUAAUUUCUUCCCUGGUUUUUUAUAACUUCAUCAAUGUACAUAUAUAUAUAUAUACUUUUGCCUUCAUAAACUUUGGGAGGUUUACAACUCCUUAAAAAAACAGCAAAUUGUUGUACCUUCUCCUCGUUAAUUCUGGCGCAACAUUUAAUACUGGGUUUGAAACAGAACAUGUGGACUGCAGAUGGAACGGUUAGUUCAACCUCAUGGCUACAACCAAGCUUGAAGUAUAUAGAAGGUUUUGUCCUUACGAUUUGGACAAUAUUCAAAACUUUCAAAAUCUUUCAUCAUGACAAAACAUUAAGGAGUGAGUACGUUCUGGUUGUUGGCAUGUGAUUAAGAGGUUAGUAUGGAUCGAGUUUUGAAAAUAGACUCUUAUAAAAAAUACUAAUAAAAUUACAUAUAAUAGAUUCUUGUGAUCCAUCUCUUCUUUGGACUCCGCAUAUAACCGGAAUUUAGUACACAUGGUUAAUAAGUUAUUUAUUUUUUUAUUAUCUUUUUGCAUAAUUGAGAUGCCACUUUUGCUCAUUUUAUAUUCCCUGCUAGUAGAAUUUAAGAAGGUUUACAUGAUUUAUCCACUCUUACAAUCCUAUAUUUCAAGACCUGUAUUAUUUUUAUUGACUAAACAUGGAUAAUGAUAACUACUGUCAAUACUAAUAAAAAUGUUUUCCACGUUAGAGUUGUGGGUUCGAGAAUAGCAGGCUUUAAAUUUGGUAGUUGGAGAAAUGCAUUGCAAGUUAUUUAUAAUGUGGUUCUAUCGUCUACAUUGAGGUGUGAAUAAUUUUGCAAUAAAUUAUUCUAUCCGUUUAUUUUAACUUAUUACAUUUCGUUUUGAGAUUCAAACUAUAUGAAUUUGGAUCAAUAUUUUAAGAUGAAUAAUUUUGCAAUAAAUUAUUACAUCCGUUUAUUUCAACUUAUUACGUUUCAUUUUUUGAGAGUCAAACUAUAUGAACUUUGAUUAACAUUUUAAGAUGAAUAUUUUUGCAAUUAAUUAUUCUAUCCUUUUAUUUUAACUUAUUACGUUUCGUUUUUUGAGAGUUAAAUGAUAUAUAUAUGAACUUUGAGAUGUAUUUUUUCAUCAUAUUAAUAUGAGAAAGAUUGAUCAUAUAUAGUUUUUAAAUAUUUAAAUUUAAAAUUUAAAAUAUUGAGUGAAUUUUAUUCAAUUUGACUCUCAAAGUUAAUCAAAUUAACUCUCAUGAAACAUGACAAAUAAAUCCAUUUUCUUGGUUUUCCACCCGGUACUCACAUCCAAAUCGUUCCACGCAUAUUCAGAAUUAUGGAGUAUUAAAUGAAAUAUUUAGUUCAUGAACUAACUAGUACAAAUUUUUUAAAAUCACCUUAUCGAGCAUAUUAAAUGUAAAUAGUUAACGCAGUAAACUAACCUGUGAGAUUUUCAUAUUCUCAGCUUUGCAAGCCGUUUGGAAAGACUUAUUAGGGAACGGAGUCUUACAAGUAAUAGCAAUAUUACCGAGAUCACCAAAUGCAUUGUGCUCGGUGUGAGAGGUUGCAUGAAAUUUCUUUGUCUAGCUUUUCUCAUUGGAACACCUUUUACGAUCAGAAGAUUCUCUCCAACACAGACUUAAAUCAUUUUCAAAGGCAUCCCUGCAAUUUAUUAGAGAUGGAAUAUUUAGUUGAUGAACUAAAUACAAAUUUCAAAAAAUCAUGGAUAUUAAACGUAAAUAAUUAUUUAUAGUACCUGUGAGAUUUUUAUAUUCUCAACAUUGCAAGCCGUUCCGAGACCCUGAGACUAAUUGGGGAAUAAAUGAUUGGGCCUUGUACAAGUAAUAGCUUUUUCAAUUUAGGCAUACUCAUAUCAUCCAUGCACGUUAUUUCAGACAACCCGCGUGCAUCCUCAAUAUGCAGAACUUCAAGUUGCGGAAAGCUAUCACCAGAGAGAUCCAUUUUUUCUGCAUCAUGGCUGCACCUAAGCAAUGUAAGUAUCCUUAAUUUGGGCAAUUUCUUAAGCACUGCCAAUAGAUGACCGUCUACCAUCAAGCCGACAAGAUUAAGCUUGACAAGAUUUGGAGGGAAUGCUUCAAUGUUCAAGAGCAUUGCUGAGAAACCAAACAAACCCAACUCGACAAUAUUUGGAUGGGACGACAAGUUUAUUUGCUCACUCGUGUUCUUGAAAAUUCUGAGCUUCAGAACCUCCAACGCUUUAGGCACAGGGCUCAAUGCUGAUAAUAUCUUAAUGGUAGAACCGGAUACAUCCUUUAUACACAAUGUUCUUAAAUUUAUCAAUCGGUGCAACAAUCUCGGUUCACAAAAUUUAUCAUCCACCCACAUCAAAGUUUGUAGAUUAUUACGAGGCAAUGAGUACACGUUUGGAAAAAAUGGGUUUAUACAAAAGUAAUUGUAAGGUGCUAGAUUAUAACCUAUAGAACGAAGAUGUCUCAAUUGUGUAGACUUCCAAACACCAGUAGGAAGUUUAAUAAAGAAGCUUUUACCAAUAUCUAGGGUCUCUAGAUGUUUGAGCUUCACCAUACAAUUUGGCAGUUUCCCAUCAGGGUCUCUAGACAUUUGAGCUUGACAAUACUAUUUGGCAAUUUUACUCUAAUUCUCCCCUCCAAUCGCACAUAGCGUAGGCAACUCAUGUUCCCAAUUUUGUUUGGGAUAGUAAUUACAUGCUGAUAACGAUCUCGAGACGUGACUACAACCAACACUUGCAAUAAUUUGAAAUCAAGAUGAGCCAGUUGAGAAAAUAUGCAAGGGUCUUCUGUAAAACAGAAAAGUGCACGAAGCUUCUCAAGCUUAGUAUUUGAACGGAAGAACUCAUUCAUGGCAUUAUUAUCAGAGUAGAAUGUAAUCCUUCGCACCCUAGCAACAUUGCUGGGAUCACCAAAUGCAUUGUGCUCGGUGUGAAAGAAGUUACUUUCCUUAGCCAAAUCCACACACAAACUAUGUAACAAGUCAUGUAUGCGACAACUUGAAAUUCUUCCAUCAUAUGUCCUUUCGACAACUUGAAUCAAGUUUCUAGAAACCAAAUCAUUUAGGAUAUCCUCUGCCAAACUUUCAGCCUCUCGCCUAUCACCACUAUAGUUUACAACUAUCAACUUCUCAGCAAUCCACAUAUUUGUCAGAUCAAAAGCACGAAUUUCAUGGUCCUCGGGGUAAAGGCCAAAAUACAAGAAACAUGGCCUUAAUGCAAUUGGCAAAUCAUUGUAACUCAGAGCCAAUACCUUAGCACAUCCAUCUUGAAUUUUAUGACCCAUACUCUCAAGUACUCUGUUCCAUGCACGUUCUGUUCUUUCUCUUGCCCUUAACAUGCCUGCGGUCACCUCAAUGGCUAGAGGUAUACCUCCACAUCUUCCAACUAUACUUCUACCAAUAUCUACCAAGUCUGGUGAAGCAUUGGCCCAAUUAUUAUUGUUAUCAAAAGUAAAGAUUUUCUUGGUAAAGAGUUCAAAACUGUUUUCCGAAUCUAGAG